UACGGGGGGGGUAAGCGUUGUUCGGAAUUACUGGGCGUAAAGGGCUCGUAGGCGGCCAACUAAGUCAGACGUGAAAUCCCUCAGCUUAACUGGGGAACUGCGUCUGAUACUGGAUGGCUUGGAUUCGGGAGAGGGAUGUGGAAUUCCAGGUGUAGCGGUGAAAUGCGUAGAUAUCUGGAGGAAUACCGGUGGCGAAGGCGGCAUCCUGGACCGGCAUUGACGCUGAUGUGCGAAAGCCAGGGGAGCAAACGGG
rnacentral:rRNA from 1 species